CCCCAAACAGGGGCUGUCAGACUGCCGGUUUCCCCCACGGGCACUGCAAGGUCCCACUCUGGCACCUGGAGAAAAUCUGGUGCAGAACCCCUCAUAAUAUAUUCAAGCCAUGUAGAUCACAGACAUUGGGUCACAUCAAAAGAAGCAGAUGUUAAUUUAAAAACUAAGAGAUUUAUAAACUGUUCUAAAUGCUCAGAAGGGAAAGUUAGUCAGAUUACAAGUGCAUGGAACAAGCAGAAUUGAUGUGGUUCCCAGGGGACAGGAGAGCCUUCCUGAAGAAGUCCUAUGUAAGUGUUGGUGGAAUGCAGCCGUUUGAAUUUUCUCGUUGUAGUUAAAAGAGCACUGUUUUACAGAGAUGAAUUGGUAGGCCCUGAUGAGUUAUUUCUGGGGACUGGCUGUCAGGCAAUUCGAGUGUGGCCGGACAAACUUGAAUUUGACUAUCCUGUUAGUCUGUGCGGAAUUACGAUGCAGGUCUUCUGUGAUGGAGCCGUCUUCCAUUCCUGGCUCACCUAUGUACCAAAGAAUCAAUCCAUUUCUGCUAAACUUCCCCUGGAGUGUACAGUUCCCAGUCCACACCUUUUUAUGGACCACACAAUUAUUCACUUCAAGAGCAUUUCUUCCAUCCUUUCACCGAUGACUUUUAGAAGCUUUUGCCCUUGGACAUUCAGCAACAACACGGAAGUAACCCAGCCCAGUCAUGUGGCAUUUUGUUUUUAUAUAUUUACAUGUUUUUAAUUCAUUUUGUAAUCCCUUUCACGAUGCCUUUGAGAAGAGGCCAUUUGUAUUUUUAACUUUCAAUGUGGCCACAAACCCAUGAAUAAAAACUGACACAUUUUAUGGUAUAUCUGUGUU
rnacentral:lncRNA from 1 species